rnacentral:rRNA from 1 species
AGAAUCAACGCUGGCGGCGUGCCUAACACAUGCAAGUCGAACGAGAAAGUGGAGCAAUCCAUGAGUAAAGUGGCGCACGGGUGAGUAACACGUGACUAACCUACCCUUGAGUGGGGGAUAACCUAGAGAAAUCUGGGCUAAUACCGCAUAAUACCUUCGGGUCAAAGGAGCAAUUCGCUUAAGGAGGGGGUCGCGGCCGAUUAGUUAGUUGGCGGGGUAAUGGCCCACCAAGACUGUGAUCGGUAUCCGGCCUGAGAGGGCGCACGGACACACUGGAACUGAAACACGGUCCAGACUCCUACGGGAGGCAGCAGUGGGGAAUUUUGCGCAAUGGGGGAAACCCUGACGCAGCAACGCCGCGUGGAGGAUGAAGUCCCUUGGGACGUAAACUCCUUUCGAUCGGGACGAUUAUGACGGUACCGAGAGAAGAGCCCCGGCUAACUUCGCGCCAGCAGCCGC